rnacentral:ncRNA from 1 species
UAAAAGUUUGAUUCUAGCUUUAAGAUUAAUUUAUUCAUUGAUCUAUAUGGUAAAUUAUUAAAUUGGUUUUGUUGUUCCAGUAGUAAAAAUUAAGUUUAUUAGAGGUUUUGAUUUAGAAAUUGAAUGUAAAGUAGAUUAAUAUUUGUGCCAGCAUUCGCGGUUACACAAUUUACUUAAGUUAAUUUAGUUGUUUUUAAUUUAAUUUUUAGUAUGGAUUUAAGUAUGAGAUUAUUUAGGUGGAAUUUAUAGUUUGUUAUAAAGUCUAGCAUAAUUUAAUUGAGAUAUUUUUGUUAAUAAACUAGGAUUAGAUACCCUAUUAUUUUAAAUGUAAAAUUUAUUCAGAAUGGUAAUAGAUAUGAUCUUUAAAGCUCAAAGAAUUUGGCGGUAAGAUAUCUACUUAGAGGAAUCUGUAUAUUAAUUGAUAUUCCACAAGAGUUCAUACCUUUAUAUUAUAUUUGUAUACCGCUAUCUUUGAGGGAAUGUUAUUUAAGUAAACUUUCUUUAAUUAAUUUAAUCUUAUAUUAGGUCAAGGUGCAGUUUUUUUAAGGUUUAUAUGGAUUACUUUUGUUUUAAGUAUUAGGAUUUUAAUUUUAAAAAAAUUAAGUUGAAUUAGGAUUUAACAGUAAGUUUGAAUUAAUUUAUUUAGCUGAAUUUUGCUAUGUUUUAUGCACAUAUCGCCCGUCACUCCUAAUUAAGUUAGGAUAAGUCGUAACAAAGUAAUCUUACCGGAAGGUGAGGUUAGAAUAAAUA